rnacentral:rRNA from 1 species
GAUGAACGCUGGCGGCGUGCCUAAUACAUGCAAGUCGAACGGACAGGUGAUGCUCUUGCGGCUUGGACGUUAGCGGCGGACGGGUGAGUAACACGUGUAUAACCUACCUAUAUUACUGGGAUAACUUCGGGAAACCGGAGCUAAUACCGGAUGAUAUAUUGAACCGCAGGGGGCAAUAGUGAAAUACGGUGUUGCUGUCACUUAUAGAUGGAUCUGCGCCGCAUUAGCUGGUUGGUAAGGUAACGGCUUACGAAGGCGACGAUGGGUAGCCGAGCGCCUGGGGGGGUAGCCCGCCUUGGAGCUGGGCCGCGGUCCAGACUCCUAAGGGAGGCCCCAGUAGGCAAUGGUCCGCAGUGGGCGGGAGCCUUACGCAGCGACGCCGCGCCAGUUAUGACGGUCCUCGGAUCGUAAAGCCCUGUUAUGGGGUAAGAACCACUUUGGACUUAACCAUGCCCGUAUUGACGGUACCUAGUCAGAAAGCACCGGCUAACUACGUG